rnacentral:rRNA from 1 species
AUUGAACGCUGGCGGCAGGCCUAACACAUGCAAGUCGAGCGGAGCGGCGGACGGGUGAGUAAUGCCUAGGACUCUGCAUGGUAGUGGGGGAUAACGUCAGGAAACGGACGCUAAUACCGCUACCUCUCAGAUGAACCUAGGUCGGAUUAGCUAGUUGGUGGGGUAAAGGCUUACCAAGGCGACGAUCCGUAACUGGUCUGAGAGGAUGAUCAGUCACACUGGAACUGAGACACGGUCCAGACUCCUACGGGAGGCAGCAGUGGGGAAUAUUGGACAAUGGGCGAAAGCCUGAUGCAGCCAUGCCGCGUGUAUGAAGAAGGUCUUCGGAUUGUAAAGUACUUUAAGUUGGGAGGCGUUACCAACAGAAUAAGCACCGGCUAACUCCGUGCCAGCAGCCGCGGUAAUAC